AGCAAUUUUGGAGGUGGUGGAAGCUACAAUGAUUUUGGCAAUUACAACAACCAGUCAUCAAAUUUUGGACCGAUGAAAGGAGGAAACUUUGGAGGCAGGAGCUCUGGCCCUUAUGGUGGUGGAGGCCAGUACUUUGCUAAACCACGAAACCAAGGUGGCUAUGGAGGUUCCAGCAGCAGCAGUAGCUAUGGCAGUGGCAGGAGGUUCUAAUUACAGCCAGGAAGGAAUCUGCUAUGAGGCUUAACUGCUGUCAUAAAAUUUGUUUAAAAAACAUGCUACAGAAGUUAUUGGCUAAAAGGAACAUCCUUAAGAGAAGAGCCUUUAUUCUGGGCCACUCUACUACUUCUCACUGCCAUGCAGUUGGGUUUUAGCUGUACUGCUAAAAAUCAUUCAAUUUUGUGAAUGGCUUACUUUUUUUACAAUAAACUUUUUAAUUAACUUG
rnacentral:lncRNA from 1 species